GACAGAGGGUGCGAACGUUGCUCGGAAUCAUUGGGCGUAAAGCGCGUGUAGGCGGCAUCGCACGUCGGGUGUGAAAGCCCGGGGCUCAACCCCGGCAGUGCACCCGAAACGACGAUGCUAGAGUGCUGGAGAGGCGGGUGGAAUUCCCGGUGUAGAGGUGAAAUUCGUAGAUAUCGAGAGGAACACCGGUGGCGAAGGCGGCCUUCUGGACAGUGACUGACGCUGAGACGCGAAAGCGUGGGGAGCAAACAGG
rnacentral:rRNA from 1 species